UUUUUUUAUUUUAAGACGGGAUCUCACUGAGUUGCUUAGGGCCUCACUAAGUUGCUGAGGUUGGCUUCUAUCUUGUGAUCCUCCUGCCUCAGCUUCUUGAGCUGCUGGGAUUAUAGACAUGUGCUGUUGCUCCCAGCUUCCCCUUUAGUUUAGCUCUUGAUAUGUAGAUGUCUCUUUUUAACCGUUUUCCCUAAAUAAAUAGCCACAUAUGUACACCAAACAAAAUAAAUAAAUAUACACAAA
rnacentral:lncRNA from 1 species